rnacentral:rRNA from 1 species
AACAGAACGUUCCCUGUCUUGUUUAGUUUUGAAGGAUCAUUCCUUCGAAACGUGUUCUUUGAAAACUAGAUAACAGUAGACAUCACAUUCAAUUAGUAACACAAAAUAUCACAUAGUGAUUCUUUUUAACGGUUAAGUUAAAAGGGGCGCACGGAGGAUGCCUUGGCACUAGCAGCCGAUGAAGGAGGGGACUAACAC